rnacentral:tRNA from 4 species
GCCCAGGUGGCGGAAUUGGUAGACGCGCUGGACUCAAAAUCCAGUGUCCCUUAAAGACGUGCGGGUUCGAUUCCCGCCCUGGGUACUA